GGUAAUGCCGGAUGCUCCAUCACACCGCAUGGUGUGUUGGGAAAGCCUUUGCGGCAUGGGAUGGGGUCGCGUCCUAUCAGCUUGAUGGCGGGGUAACGGCCCACCAUGGCUUCGACGGGUAGCCGGCCUGAGAGGGCGACCGGCCACAUUGGGACUGAGAUACGGCCCAGACUCCUACGGGAGGCAGCAGUGGGGAAUAUUGCACAAUGGGCGCAAGCCUGAUGCAGCGACGCCGCGUGAGGGAUGGAGGCCUUCGGGUUGUAAACCUCUUUUGUUAGGGAGCAAGGCACUUUGUGUUGAGUGUACCUUUCGAAUAAGCACCGGCUAACUACGUGCCAGCAGCCGCGGUAAUACGUAGGGUGCAAGCGUUAUCCGGAAUUAUUGGGCGUAAAGGGCUCGUAGGCGGUUCGUCGCGUCCGGUGUGAAAGUCCAUCGCUUAACGGUGGAUCCGCGCCGGGUACGGGCGGGCUUGAGUGCGGUAGGGGAGACUGGAAUUCCCGGUGUAACGGUGGAAUGUGUAGAUAU
rnacentral:rRNA from 1 species